rnacentral:rRNA from 1 species
CCCGCUGAACUUAAGCAUAUCAGUAAGCGGAGGAAAAGAAACUAACAAGGAUUCCCCUAGUAACGGCGAGCGAAGCGGGAAGAGCUCAAAUUUAAAAUCUGGUAGGCCUAGCCUAUCCGAAUUGUAGUUUAAAGAGGCGUUAUCUGGCCUUUGCUCGGUGCUCAAGUCCCUUGGAAUAGGGCGUCACAGAGGGUGAGAACCCCGUCUGGGCACUGGGUAGAGGCCUAUAUGAGGCGUUCUCUACGAGUCGGGUUGUUUGGGAAUGCAGCUCAAAAUGGGUGGUAAAUUUCAUCUAAGGCUAAAUACUGGCAAGAGACCGAUAGCGAACAAGUACCGUGAGGGAAAGAUGAAAAGCACCUUGAAAAGGGAGUUAAAUAGUGCGUGAAAUUGUUAAAAGGGAAACGAUUGAGACCAGUAUUGCUGCCGGUCGUUCAGCGUCGUGUUGGUGCAAGCCUGUGCGUCGUGUAUUCGAUUGGUAGCGAGUCAGCGUCAGUUUGGGUUUCCGGAGAGAGGUCAGAGGAAGAUGGGAUCGGCUUUCGGGUCAAUCUUUUAUAGACUCUGGCUGGCACGGGAGCCUGGACUGAGGUGUGCGACCGUAGUACUCUCAGUUUGAUACUAGCCCCCAAGGCCUUGGACUACAUGUAGACCUGGGUCGUAAGGGAUAGAGGUAAGGCUGAGCAUACGGUUCCAGGAUGCUGACGAAAUGGUCUUAAACGACCCGUCUUGAAACACGG